UUUGCCUACGGGACGCAGCAGUGAGGAAUAUUGGUCAAUGGUCGGGAGACUGAACCAGCCAAGCCGCGUGAGGGAGGAAGGUACAGAGUAUCGUAAACCUCUUUUGUCAGGGAGCAAAGGGCGCCACGUGUGGCGCUUUGCGAGUACCUGAAGAAAAAGCAUCGGCUAACUCCGUGCCAGCAGCCGCGGUAAUACGGAGGAUGCGAGCGUUAUCCGGAUUUAUUGGGUUUAAAGGGUGCGCAGGCGGAAUGUCAAGUCAGCGGUAAAAUUUCGGGGCUCAACCCCGUCGUGCCGUUGAAACUGGC
rnacentral:rRNA from 1 species